CCUACGGGCGGCAGCAGUGGGGAAUAUUGCACAAUGGGGGAAACCCUGAUGCAGCGACGCCGCGUGAGUGAAGAAGUAUCUCGGUACGUAAAGCUCUAUCAGCCGGGAAGAAAAUGACGGUACUUGACUACGAAGCCCCGGCUAACUACGUGCCAGCAGCCGCGGUCAUACGUCGGGGGCAAGCGUUAUCCGGAUUUACUGGGUGUAAAGGGAGCGUAGGCGGGAGCACAAGUCUGGAGUGAAAUGCCGGGGCGUAACCCCGGAACUGCUUUGGAAACUGGGCGGCUGGAGUGCAGGAGGGGUACGCGGAAUGCGCGGUGUAGCGGUGAAAUGCGUAGAUAUUGGGAGGAACACCGAUGGCGAAGGCGGCGUACUGGACUGUCACUGACGUUGAGGCUCGAAAGCGUGGGGAGCGAACAGGAUUAGAUACCCCAGUAGUC
rnacentral:rRNA from 1 species